AUACGGAGGGUGCAAGCGUUGUUCGGAAUUACUGGGCGUAAAGAGUACGUAGGCGGUUGCUUAAGUCAGAUGUGAAAGCCCCGGGCUCAACCUGGGAACUGCAUUUGAAACUGAGUGACUAGAGUCUAAGAGAGGGGAGUAGAAUUCCGGGUGUAGCGGUGAAAUGCGUAGAGAUCCGGAGGAAUACCAGUGGCGAAGGCGGCUCCCUGGCUUAAAACUGACGCUGAGGUACGAAAGCGUGGGUAGCAAACAGGAUUAGAAACCCUAGUAGUCC
rnacentral:rRNA from 1 species